rnacentral:rRNA from 1 species
UACGUAGGGAGCAAGCGUUGUCCGGAAUCAUUGGGCGUAAAGCGCGCGUAGGCGGCCCGGUAAGUCCGCUGUAAAAGUCCAGGGCUCAACCCUGGAAAGCCGGUGGAUACUGUCGGGCUAGAGUCCGGAAGAGGCGAGUGGAAUUCCUGGUGUAGCGGUGGAAUGCGCAGAUAUCAGGAGGAACACCGGUGGCGAAGGCGGAUCUCUGGGCCGAUACUGACGCUGAGGAGCGAAAGCGUGGGGAGCGAACAGG